UACGGGGGGGGCAAGCGUUGUUCGGAGUUACUGGGCGUAAAGGGCGCGUAGGCGGGCUCUCAAGUCGGGGGUGAAAUCGUUCGGCCCAACCGGACAAGGGCUUCCGAUACUGAGAGUCUCGAGGGAGGUAGGGGUCGAGGGAACUGGUGGUGGAGCGGUGAAAUGCGUAGAUAUCACUAGGAACGCCGGUGGCGAAAGCGCUCGACUGGACCUCUUCUGACGCUGAGGCGCGAAAGCCAGGGGAGCAAACGGG
rnacentral:rRNA from 1 species